rnacentral:rRNA from 1 species
AUUGAACGCUGGCGGCAUGCCUUACACAUGCAAGUCGAACGGUAGCGGGCCUUCGGGUGCCGACGAGUGGCGAACGGGUGAGUAAUGUAUCGGAACGUACCUUUCAGUGGGGGAUAACGUAGCGAAAGUUACGCUAAUACCGCAUAUUCUGUGCGCAGGAAAGCAGGGGACCUUCGGGCCUUGCGCUGAUUGAGCGGCCGAUAUCAGAUUAGCUAGUUGGUGAGGUAAAGGCUCACCAAGGCAACGAUCUGUAGCGGGUCUGAGAGGAUGAUCCGCCACACUGGAACUGAGACACGGUCCAGACUCCUACGGGGGGCAGCAGUGGGGAAUUUUGGACAAUGGGGGCAACCCUGAUCCAGCCAUGCCGCGUGAGUGAAGAAGGCCUUCGGGUUGUAAAGCUCUUUCGGCCGGGAAGAAAUCGUAUCAGCUAAUACCUGGUGCGGAUGACGGUACCGGCAUAAGAAGCACCGGCUAACUACGUGCCAGCAGCCGCCGUAAGAC